rnacentral:rRNA from 1 species
AGAUUGAACGCUGGCGGCAGGCCUAACACAUGCAAGUCGAGCGGCAGCACGGGUACUUGUACCUGGUGGCGAGCGGCGGACGGGUGAGUAAUGCCUAGGAAUCUGCCUGGUAGUGGGGGAUAACGCUCGGAAACGGACGCUAAUACCGCAUACGUCCUACGGGAGAAAGCAGGGGACCGAAAGGCCUCGCGCGAUUGGAGCGGCCGAUGUCAGAUUAGCUAGUUGGUGGGUAAAGCCCACCAAGGCGACGAUCUGUAGCUGGUCUGAGA